rnacentral:rRNA from 1 species
UACGGAAGGUUCGGGCGUUAUCCGGAUUUAUUGGGUUUAAAGGGAGCGUAGGCCGUCUUAUAAGCGUGUUGUGAAAUGUCGGGGCUCAACCUGGGCAUUGCAGCGCGAACUGUGAGACUUGAGUGCGCAGGAAGUAGGCGGAAUUCGUCGUGUAGCGGUGAAAUGCUUAGAUAUGACGAAGAACUCCGAUUGCGAAGGCAGCCUGCUGUAGCGCAACUGACGCUGAAGCUCGAAAGCGUGGGUAUCGAACAGG